rnacentral:lncRNA from 1 species
GUUGUUUUGUAAACCGCUUAGAAUAUUUCUUGUUAGAUAUUGCCCUUCAUAGAUAUUGUAUAAUACUUAAUUUUUUCAGUUAAAGUAAAGGAAGUAGUUGGGUCAGAAUUGGGCAUUUUUGUCAGAAAUUCCUACUUCUAGGGUUUUCUCUAUGAUACAGGGGGGAAAUGCCCUAUAUAACAAUUUAUGUCUUUACUUAGAAUUCUUCAAUAGCUCAUAAAAAGGUCAUUGUUAUAGUCUAAGCAGAUUCUACAUUCAUUUUCUGAUGAUUUGAGACCCAAAUUAUUUCAAUGCAAAUUUAA